AACUUUGCACAGUGGCAGUUUCGUAGCCAAUGAGGUUUAUCUGAGGCACAAUUAUUGCUAAUAGAAAAAAAAUAUCAAACCCAAAUGUGGGGCAGUCUAUAAAACAGGCACCAAUAAUCCUGAAAACUGUCAAGGUUAUAAAAAG
rnacentral:snRNA from 1 species